rnacentral:lncRNA from 1 species
GGCCGCCAAUGGCCGGGGCGGGGGCGGAGCCCGCCGCCCUCCGCAAUAAAACUUUUUGAUGUUCGCUCUGCUAAUUGCCGAGCUCCUCUUUUAGGAUUGGCUGCCCCUCCGCAUCCCUAAUGUAAUUAAAACAAGGGGGGAAAAAUUAUCAUGGAGGCAGAGGUUAAUGCAAGUGUUUAGCAGAUGCCUUACAGUAAAAUCUGCAUUAAAAAAAAAUUAAAAAACCCCAAACAACAAAACCCCCCUACAAACUCGUUAAAACUUAAAUAUCGGAUAAUCUCAAACCAGCUUACUGCCUGCCCUGUGCACCUCCACCAGCCUUCACCCGAGUGGCUCAAAAAUCGCCUGAAAUCAGUCUCGUGCUUCUUGAGCUGGUAUGAUCGGAAAGUUAAGAAGCCGGAAAACGGAGAGGUGAAUGCCAUGUACCUCCCCGGACCUGGAGGGAAACGGAGCUGCGGCCAAAGGGAGUGGGUGUAAAUGCGACAACAAAAAUAAAUACUUUAUAUCACCCUGCAGAACUUAUUUUACUAAGUCAACACUUUGUUUUUCUGCAGCUCACCUUUUCUUUCCUCUAGGGAGAGACAAUGCUCAGUUUUUAUUAGGUAUUCCCUAAAAGUUUAUUUU